UACGUAGGGACCAAGCGUUGUUCGGAUUUACUGGGCGUAAAGGGCGCGUAGGCGGCAAUUCAAGUCAGUUGUGAAAUCUCCGAGCUUAACUCGGAACGGUCAACUGAUACUGUUUUGCUAGAGUACAGAAGGGGCAAUCGGAAUUCUUGGUGUAGCGGUGAAAUGCGUAGAUAUCAAGAGGAACACCUGAGGUGAAGACGGGUUGCUGGGCUCGGUCUGACGCUGAGGCGCGAAAGCGUGGGGAGCGAACAGG
rnacentral:rRNA from 1 species